GAGGGUAUGGCCCUGUGGUAGAGCACAUGCUUAGCAUGCAUGAGGUGCUGGGUUCAACCCCCAGUACCUCCA
rnacentral:tRNA from 1 species